CGCGCCGCCACCACUGCCGACGCCGACCCUCUCCUUGCUGCCACUCUAGGUCACGGAUUGUCAAGGAUGCAAUUGUGAUCGUGAGGUGCAUUAGAACUUGCUGUGGGGUUGUGCUGUGGUUGGACAGCCACUCCUUUCGGUAUCUACUGGCUUCUGCAACGGGUGUCAACCUAGCAAUUUAUCUGUGCUGGCUGUAAACAAUCCUAAUUGGGCAACAACUUUAUGACUUCCAGCAGCGGUUGAUUUGAGGACUUUGACGCGAGACGAGUAUCUCGGAGUCAGAUUGGACCUUUCUAUUUUUU